AAUCCUCAGGGGCGUCUUACUCACCCUUUCCUGUGUUGGGGAGCUUCUCCUGGCUCCGCAUUUAUCCCAGACAGGCUGCUGCCCAGCUGCACUCCUCUCUGCUCUCUGUGUCGGCUUGCUGCCUUGAUGGAGUCCGACGUGGUUUCUUAGACAUCAGCUUGUAGGGUCAGUGUUCACCAGCCCUUUGUCUCCUCCCUGUGAGAGCAGCGCGCAGGAGCUGCUUCUAGGCCGCCAUCUUGACUCAACCCCUCUUAAUGAUUCCUGUGUCUCCGGCUUUUAGAACUAAAGCAGUUAUAAGAACAUAGACAUAUUCCACUCAGUCGGAGUGUUCAUAAAGCGAUAUUAAGCACCAUACUAUGUCUCAGCAACAUGCAUAUGUUUGAAUGGAGUUCAUGAAAGCCAUCAUCUACCACAGUCAUUCAUCUGGACUUCAAGUCUGGCCUGCUGGGAAGUAGGUCACCACCUCUACACUGGGCCACUGUCAAGAUCCAGCAUGUGCUAAAACUUAAUCACCACUCUAUUUGGUAGCAAUCCAAAGUGGACCAAAACAUUCCCUAAGUAAUACCACGGUCAAAAAUAUAAUGUCGAUAUGUCAAAUUUUGAUCUCUGUGAGUGGAUACUAGUAAAUGGAGAGUUGUUAUGAGUAGGAUAAGAGGAAAGCUGUUGGUUGUUUCAUAAAAGCAAAGAAAAUUAA